UUUUAAAGUUGUAAAUAUAAUUUUAGAAAAAAUAUUAUAUCGUAUUUACUUUUAUAUAAUUCUGCAUAAAAGAUACAAUGGUAUGUUUCAAUAAUGAGAUUGUAUUGUGCCUAUUAAUGAGAUAGCUAACUCUUGGAAAGUGCCGCAUUUUUAGUAUGUUUAAUACGUGACAAGAGUGAGAAACGAUAAGUCUGAGUGAAAUGAAAAAGACAUCGGCAUUCGUUGGUUCUCUACGAUGUAUAAGAGAUUCCGUUCGCUUGAAGUAGUUUCAGGAAAUAGUGGGGAUGACUCUGCGUAUAUCGAGGCAAAAAGGUGUCUACUAUUCAGGCACUAUUGUAUAGAGGGGACAAGUUCUAUAUUCUACGUCUAGAGUUACAAAACUAAAAAAAAAUCUCUUAAUGGAGAUUUCAAUUUCAAUUGGGACGACACCUGUUUCACCAGCCGGAAGAUAUUGGACUGAUCGUUUUUCGACGCGUGUUACGGCUAUUAUUAAUUGUCUCACGACACAUGGAUCGGAUGAAAAACGCGUCAGAUAAGCGUAUCAACGCUUGUAUGGUCGAAAUGGUUUUUCUCCAGGGAAGGAAGGCGGCCGGAUGCUAUUGCGCUUGAGCGGAAACUCUUCAUAGUCGAGACGCAUCAUCAUUCGAAAUUCGAACGUUUCGACAGAGGGAUGAAAGAUUGACAAUCUUUUUCACAUUAUUUUGACAGUGACACAAAAUUCUUAUUUUAUUUAAAUUCGAAUAUAAUAAUUCGUCAAAGAAUGAUCAUUCGAGAUAUGAAAGUUUUCGGGGAUGAUACGAAGUAUUUUUCGUUUAUUUCUAAAGAUGCACAAUCAUCAGGAAUUUGAACAUUUCGAUGAAGGAUGACAGAUAUCUUCUUAUCUUUUAGAUAAGAUUUUGACACGAAGUUUUUAUUUUUCUAUUUUUUUAUAUAUAUAA